CCACUUCGGUGGGGAUUAGUGGCGAACGGGUGAGUAACACGUGGGCAAUCUGCCCUGCACUCUGGGACAAGCCCUGGAAACGGGGUCUAAUACCGGAUAUUGACCACCACAGGCAUCUGUGGUGGUGGAAAGCUCCGGCGGUGCAGGAUGAGCCCGCGGCCUAUCAGCUAGUUGGUGAGGUAAUGGCUCACCAAGGCGACGACGGGUAGCCGGCCUGAGAGGGCGACCGGCCACACUGGGACUGAGACACGGCCCAGACUCCUACGGGAGGCAGCAGUGGGGAAUAUUGCACAAUGGGCGAAAGCCUGAUGCAGCGACGCCGCGUGAGGGAUGACGGCCUUCGGGUUGUAAACCUCUUUCAGCAGGGAAGAAGCGAAAGUGACGGUACCUGCAGAAGAAGCGCCGGCUAACUACGUGCCAGCAGCCGCGGUAAUACGUAGGGCGCGAGCGUUGUCCGGAAUUAUUGGGCGUAAAGAGCUCGUAGGCGGCUUGUCACGUCGGUUGUGAAAGCCCGGGGCUUA
rnacentral:rRNA from 1 species